UACAGAGGGUGCAAGCGUUAAUCGGAAUUACUGGGCGUAAAGCGUGCGUAGACGGUUACAUAAGUCGGGUGUGAAAGCCCCGGGCUCAACCUGGGAAUUGCAUUCGAGACUGCGUAGCUAGGGUGCGGAAGAGGGAAGCGGAAUUUCCGGUGUAGCGGUGAAAUGCGUAGAUAUCGGAAGGAACACCAGUGGCGAAAGCGGCUUCCUGGUCCAGCACCGACGUUCAGGCACGAAAGCGUGGGGGAGCAAACAGGAUUAGAUACCCUGGUAGUCCACGCCAUAAACGAUGAGAACUAGACGUUGAAGGGGUAAGCCCUCCAGUGUCGUAGCUAACGCGCUAAGUUCUCCGCCUGGGGAGUACGGCCGCAAGGUUGAAACUCA
rnacentral:rRNA from 1 species